UGUGAUAUUAAAUAUAUGUGUGUGUGUGUGUGUGUAUACACAUAUAUGUAUACACACACACACACACACACACACACACACACACACAGA
rnacentral:miRNA from 1 species